UACGGGGGGAGCAAGCGUUGUUCGGAUUUACUGGGCGUAAAGGGCGCGUAGGCGGCACCGCAAGUCGACUGUGAAAUCUCCGGGCUUAACUCGGAAAGGUCAGCCGAUACUGCGGGGCUAGAGUGCAGAAGGGGCAGCUGGAAUUCUCGGUGUAGCGGUGAAAUGCGUAGAUAUCGAGAGGAACACCUGCGGCGAAGGCGGGUUGCUGGGCUGACACUGACGCUGAUGCGCGAAAGCUAGGGGAGCGAACGGG
rnacentral:rRNA from 1 species